rnacentral:rRNA from 1 species
ACGAACGCUGGCGGCGCGCCUCACACAUGCAAGUCGAACGGAGCUGAGAGAAGCUUGCUUUUCUUAGCUUAGUGGCGAACGGGUGAGUAACGCGUGAGUAACCUGCCCUGGAGUGGGGGACAACAGUUGGAAACGACUGCUAAUACCGCAUAAGCCCACGAUCCGGCAUCGGAUUGAGGGAAAAGGAUUUAUUCGCUUCAGGAUGGACUCGCGUCCAAUUAGCUAGUUGGUGAGGUAACGGCCCACCAAGGCGACGAUUGGUAGCCGGACUGAGAGGUUGAACGGCCACAUUGGGACUGCGACACGGCCCAGACUCCUACGGGAGGCAGCAGUGGGUGAUAUUGCACAAUGGGGGAAACCAUGAUGCAGCGGCGCCGCGUGGACGAAGAAGGUUUUCGGAUUGUAAACUCCUGUAGUUAGGGACGAUAAUGACGGUACCUAACAAGAAAGCACCGGCUAACUACGUG